rnacentral:ncRNA from 1 species
CGAAAACCUAAGGGUUCCUCCUUAAGGUUCGUUCAAGGAGGGUGAGUCAGUGCCUAAGAUCAGGCUGAAAGGCGUAAUCGAUGGAUAACACGUGAAUAUUCCUGUACUACCCCUUGUUGGUCCCAAUGGAUGGAGGAGGCUAGGUUAUCCAAAAUAUGGUUAUCGAUUUAAGGAUGCAAGGUGACCCUCCUUUUUUCAGGGUAAGAAGGGGUAGAGAAAAUUCCUCGAGCCAAUUUCCGAGUACCGAGCACUACAUCGCUGAAGUAACCCAUGCCAUACUAUCAAGAAAAGUUCGAAUGACCUUUAUCAAUGUGAUAUCGUGAAGUUUAAAAAAAAACUAAG